rnacentral:rRNA from 1 species
UCAAACCAAAGCUGGCGACCGGCGCACGGGUGAGUAACACGUAUCCAACCUGCCCUUUACUCGGGGAUAGCCUUUCGAAAGAAAGAUUAAUACCCGAUAGCGUAAUGAUUCCGCAUGGUUUCAUUAUUAAAGGAUUCCGGUAAAGGAUGGGGAUGCGUUCCAUUAGGUUGUUGGUGAGGUAACGGCUCACCAAGCCUUCGAUGGAUAGGGGUUCUGAGAGGAAGGUCCCCCACAUUGGAACUGAGACACGGUCCAA